rnacentral:rRNA from 1 species
GACGAACGCUGGCGGCGUGCUUAACACAUGCAAGUCGAACGGAAAGGCCCUGCUUUUGUGGGGUGCUCGAGUGGCGAACGGGUGAGUAACACGUGAGUAACCUGCCCUUGACUUUGGGAUAACUUCAGGAAACUGGGCCUAAUACCGGACAGGAGCCCCCGCUGCAUGGUGGGGGUUGGAAAGUUUCGGCGGUUGGGGAUGGACGCGCGGCUUACGAGCUUGUUGGUGGGGUAGUGGAUGACCAAGGCUUUGACGGGUAGCCGGCCUGGGAGGGUGGCCGGCCACAAUAGGACUGAGAUACGGACCAGACUCCAACGGGAGGCAACAGUGGGGAAUAUUGCACAAUGGGACGGCGCCUGAUACAACAACGCCGCGUUCGGGAUGCCGGCCUUCGGGUUGUAAACCGCUUUCGCCUGUGACGAAGCGGGAGUGACGGUAAUGGGUAAAGAAGCACCGGCUAACUACGUG